rnacentral:rRNA from 1 species
CCUACGGGAGGCAGCAGUAGGGAAUAUUGCUCAAUGGGGGAAACCCUGAAGCAGCAACGCCGCGUGGAGGAUGAAGGUUUUCGGAUUGUAAACUCCUUUUGUUAGAGAAGAUAAUGACGGUAUCUAACGAAUAAGCACCGGCUAACUCCGUGCCAGCAGCCGCGGUAAUACGGAGGGUGCAAGCGUUACUCGGAAUCACUGGGCGUAAAGAGCGCGUAGGCGGGAUAGCAAGUCAGAUGUGAAAUCCUAUGGCUUAACCAUAGAACUGCAUUUGAAACUGUUAUUCUAGAGUAUGGGAGAGGUAGGUGGAAUUCUUGGUGUAGGGGUAAAAUCCGUAGAGAUCAAGAGGAAUACUCAUUGCGAAGGCAGCUUACUAAACUGCCACUGACAUUGAUGCUCGAAAGUGUGGGUAUCAAACAGGAUUAGAUACCCUUGUAGUC